CUGGACAAAACCCAGCUCUGCCCACCUCAUAGUUUUUUCAAAUUCCUGACUAGGCUUAAAAAAGACUGGUCAAUCUGGUUGGACCCCAACAUUUUUAAAGCCAGAAGUCUGAGAAUCUUUCAGGGGAAGUAUGGGAGCAAUGCUGUGGGUGUUGCACUAACUCUGUUCAGUAAAAAGAACUGGGCUUGGAGUGACAGAGACCUAACUUCCCGUUCUGCCCCUGCCGGGGAUGUGUGCAAACCCAGGCAUGCUGUUUGAACUCAGCUUUGUCAUCUACAAACAGGAAUAACAACAUUCCUGCCAAGGGCUGUGGGGAAGAUCAGGGAUCAAGAUCACUCCACUUACCGGCUCUGUGGGAGGCUUGGUGCUGGCUGAGGUGUGUCAGUGACUGCCACGGGCUGCACCCCUCACUGUUGCCUGAAGUCACCCAAGGUCGCCCAAGGUCAGUGGGAAAUAUCCAGGGAUGACGGUGGAUCCUGGGAGCGCCUCACAACAGCUACCUUCGGCACAGCACGACUUUGGAAGGCCUAAAGUUUGAACCAAAAAUGGAGCCCCUGCCGCUCUCCCCAUAUGGGAUUCAAAUUGAAAAGCUACAAGGUCCACACUCUGCUGAAGCCCCACACCACUGCCACUCUGGAACAGGCACCUCCACCAGCCACCCUGUCCCUCCCUGUCAUUUAUUCUCCCAGCUAAAGCAUGAAUCUAUAAAAGGAAGCUCUCUUCUCACAGGAUCCAACUCGUCCUCCACCCUCACACAACACUCCCUCGAGGAAGAUGUAAUGUUCCAGGAAUGGCCCAGCAUGUGUCAUUAUGGAAAGACAGAGGACGAAACAGCCAUCCUGUCGACUUCUUUGUAAGGGGCAUCAGAGUCAAAGACUGCCAGAACACCCACACUGAUCCUACCUGCAUAAUGUGGAAUGAAUGCUAUGGAUAAACUGCUGAAGAUGGUUCCUGUCCAUUUGACUCUGAAGGGUGUCUUCUUUCACGUUGAAGAACAGGAGACAAUCAAAAUGUGAAACGUAUGCUGAAGCCAACCAGAACAUCAAAGGACAGUCAAAAGCGCUAACCAUGAAACUAUAUUUCUACUAAUACAUUCUUUUAAAAAAAAAAUAAAAACAAACCUGCGUGUCCGUGCU
rnacentral:lncRNA from 1 species